GAUGAACGCUGGCGGCGUGCUUAACACAUGCAAGUCGAACGGUGAAGCCCAGCUUGCUGGGGUACACGAGUGGCGAACGGGUGAGUAACACGUGGGUGACCUGCCCUGCACUUCGGGAUAAGCCUGGGAAACUGGGUCUAAUACCGGAUAGGACCGCACCGUGAGGGUGUGGUGGAAAGUUUUUUCGGUGUGGGAUGGGCCCGCGGCCUAUCAGCUUGUUGGUGGGGUAAUGGCCUACCAAGGCGGCGACGGGUAGCCGGCCUGAGAGGGUGGACGGCCACAUUGGGACUGAGACACGGCCCAGACUCCUACGGGAGGCAGCAGUGGGGAAUAUUGCACAAUGGGCGGAAGCCUGAUGCAGCGACGCCGCGUGGGGGAUGACGGCCUUCGGGUUGUAAACUCCUUUCACCAUCGACGAAGGGUUUCUGACGGUAGAUGGAGAAGAAGCACCGGCUAACUGCGUGCCAGCCGCCGCGGUAAUAC
rnacentral:rRNA from 1 species